rnacentral:rRNA from 1 species
ACGAAGGGGGCUAGCGUUGUUCGGAGUUACUGGGCGUAAAGGGCGCGUAGGCGGCGCACCAAGUCAGGCGUGAAAGCCCUGGGCUCAACCCGGGAAUUGCGCUUGAGACUGGUGUGCUUGAGUACGGGAGAGGAUAGUGGAAUUCCCAGUGUAGAGGUGAAAUUCGUAGAUAUUGGGAAGAACACCGGUGGCGAAGGCGGCUAUCUGGACCGUAACUGACGCUGAGGCGCGAAAGCGUGGGGAGCAAACAGGA